UACGUAGGGUGCGAGCGUUGUCCGGAAUCACUGGGCUUAAAGGGCGCGUAGGCGGCUUACAAAGUCAGGGGUGAAAUCUUGCGGCUUAACCGUAAUCAGCCUCUGAUACUGGUAGGCUCGAGGGAGGUAGGGGUAUGUGGAACUUCUGGUGGAGCGGUGAAAUGCGUUGAUAUCAGAAGGAACGCCGGUGGCGAAAGCGACGUACUGGACCUCUUCUGACGCCUGAGGCGCGAAAGCUAGGGGAGCAAACGGG
rnacentral:rRNA from 1 species